GGGCCCAUAGCUCAGUUGGUUAGAGCACCCGGCUGAUAACCGGGAGGUGAGUGGUUCGAGUCCACUUGGGCCCA
rnacentral:tRNA from 1 species